rnacentral:lncRNA from 1 species
UUAUUCAUACUGCAGUCCAUUCCUCUGCAGCGACAGUCAGCCGGCAGCAACCUCUGUGGUCUGAAUUUUCUGUCCUGGUUUGUUCCGGUGUGGGGCUGAGUGUCCGAGCACUAAGACGACGCUGGGAGGAAAUCCUUAAAGUGCCAGAAGGCUACUGGACGCCGUUCCCAACAGUGUAUCUGCUCACAGGUAUGUUUUUCUUUUAGUUUUAUUGGCCUGGAACAGUUUUCUAGUUAACUCAGAACUCCUUUAUCUUUGCUCUCUGAACUUGAGUCACGAAUUUGAAAAAGGUGUGUGCUCGCGCGUGUAAGCACAUUUAGUUUCAGAGUGCUGGGACUGUUUUUGUUUGUUGCUCUUCCUGCCAAACUUGGGAAAAAUCAGAGGACUUUCUUUUCAAACAAACUUCAUGAGACGUUGAACUUGGAAUUCCUGAUCUACCUGCUGUCUUUUCCACCCCUAAGCAGAUUUCCCACAGUUCACUUUCCUGGAACAGUGCUAUGAAGUGGGGGGGGUGAGGCACAUAGAGACAUGCCAACACCAGUGAACAUUUUACCUCACAGAGGAGUGGCUGAAAAGUGACAGGGUUCUUCUAUACAGUUCUUAGUCAAGGAUAUGGAAGGUGGAGAUGCAUUCCUCAGAUUCAGGCCAGGUCAUGGCCAUGAGCUAAAUGGACUGGACUACGCGGAUAGAUGAAAGGAGAUGGGCAACAUGAGUUGUUUAACAUUUUGUAUGAACAGGAUGAACAAAGGAGACAGGAGGAACAAGGGAGUCUACCUGAAAUCCCAAGUGAAGAACAUGGGGAGAAACAAAAAAAUGGAAGGAGAGAACUCAACAAGGGGGAGUGUCAGCUGUCUAGAUCUGUCUGCUACAUAGCUCAACUCUUCCAGGGACCCUCCUAGGACGCACCUCAGAGAGGCCCUGGGCAAGUACCCAUGGCUCCCCCCAGUACCUGAAAAUUUUCUUAGGAUGUCAGCUCACAGCCAUUGAAAGGGUGCCCUGUCAAUCAUGUGAGCGAAGGUGGAGGAGGUCCCCUACGGUGAGCUACUCAGAUGUGGGAAUAGCGAAGUCUUGUGGAUCACCAGCCACACUCCGCACUCAAGGAAAGGAGACAGGGAAGAAAGAGAGAGGCACUCACAUUGCGCACUGUACCUAUAGCACUUAUAGUCUAAUCUGUAAAACAAUGGUCCUCGGACCUCUGUGAUUGGUCUAGAGAGAGAGUCUGAAGUGGCUACUAGGGUAAGCUCAGCUCUCAGCAUACCCAGCUUCC